rnacentral:rRNA from 1 species
CCUGGCCUUGACAUACUAAGAACUUUCCAGAGAUGGAUUGGUGCCUUCGGGAACUUAGAUACAGGUGCUGCAUGGCUGUCGUCAGCUCGUGUCGUGAGAUGUUGGGUUAAGUCCGCAACGAGCGCAACCCUUUUCCUUAUUUGCCAGCGGGUAAUGCCGGGAACUUUAAGGAUACUGCCAGUGACAAACUUGAGGAAGGCGGGGACGACGUCAAGUCAUCAUGGCCCUUACGGCCAGGGCUACACACGUGCUACAAUGGUCGGUACAAAGGGUUGCUACCUCGCGAGAGGAUGCUAAUCUCAAAAAGCCGAUCGUAGUCCGGAUCGCAGUCUGCAACUCGACUGCGUGAAGUCGGAAUCGCUAGUAAUCGCGGAUCAGAAUGCCGCGGUGAAUACGUUCCCGGGCCUUGUACACACCGCCCGUCACACCAUGGGAGUUUGUUGCACCAGAAGUAGGUAGUCUAACCGCAAGGAGGACGCUUACCACGGUGUGGCCGAUGACUGGGGUGAAGUCGUAACAAGGUAGGCGUAGAUGA